rnacentral:rRNA from 1 species
UACGAAGGGGGCUAGCGUUGCUCGGAAUCACUGGGCGUAAAGGGUGCGUAGGCGGAUCUUUAAGUCAGGGGUGAAAUCCUGGAGCUCAACUCCAGAACUGCCUUUGAUACUGGGGAUCUCGAGUCCGGAAGAGGUGAGUGGAACUCCGAGUGUAGAGGUGAAAUUCGUAGAUAUUCGGAAGAACACCAGUGGCGAAGGCGGCUCACUGGUCCGGUACUGACGCUGAGGUGCGAAAGCGUGGGGAGCAAACAGGG